rnacentral:rRNA from 1 species
GACGAACGCUGGCGGCGUGCUUAACACAUGCAAGUCGAACGGUAAGGCCCUUCGGGGUACACGAGUGGCGAACGGGUGAGUAACACGUGGGUGAUCUGCCCUGCACUUCGGGAUAAGCCUGGGAAACUGGGUCUAAUACCGGAUAGGACCACUGCCUGCAUGGGUGGUGGUGGAAAGCUUUUGCGGUGUGGGAUGGGCCCGCGGCCUAUCAGCUGGUUGGUGGGGUGAUGGCCUACCAAGGCGACGACGGGUAGCCGGCCUGGGAGGGUGACCGGCCACGCUGGGACUGAGAGACGGCCCAGACUCCUACGGGAGGGAGCAGUGGGGAAUAUUGCACAAUGGGCGCAAGCCUGAUGCAGCGACGCCGCGGGAGGGAUGGCGGCCUUCGGGUUGUAAACCUCUUUCAGCACCGACGAAGCGCAAGUGACGGUAGGUGCAGAAGAAGGACCGGCCAACUACGUGCCAGCCGCCGCCGUAA